AGCGAACGUUAGCGGCGGGCCUAACACAUGCAAGUCGAGCGAGAAAGUGGCUUCGGCCAUCAGUAAAGCGGCGGACGGGUGAGUAACACGUAGGUAAUCUUCCUUCGAGCGGGGGACAACGGUCCGAAAGGACCGCUAAUACCGCAUACGUUUCUCGGGACCUCGGUCCUGGGAAGGAAAGCUAGGUAGCAAUAUCCGGCACUCGAUGAGGAGCCUGCGUCGCAUCAGCUAGUUGGGGGGGUAAUGGCCCACCAAGGCGAAGACGCGUAGCUGGUCUGAGAGGAUGAUCAGCCACACUGGGACUGAGACACGGCCCAGACUCCUACGGGAGGCAGCAGGUGGGAAUAUUGGACAAUGGGCGCAAGCCUGAUCCAGCCACGCCGCGUGAGUG
rnacentral:rRNA from 1 species